AUUGCUUCUCAGCCUUUUGGCUAAGAUCAAGUGACAGAGGAUACUCAGAAGUAUGGGGUAAUGGGAGGGAGGUGGAUGAUAAGAAAUUAUUUAAUGGGUACAAUGUACAUUAUCCUGAUUUUUUUUUUAAUGGAGUUUUGCUCUUAUCUCCCAGGUUGCAGUGCAAUGGCACGAUCUCGGCUCACUGCAACCUCUACUC